GUCAUAUUAUCCUCUAAACAUUGAAGUUUCUUAGUUUUUAAAUUUUGACGUCGUUACUAAAUACACAGCAACUGACUAAAGUCUGAAGUGCUAUUAAGCUUAACAAAUUAAAAUGUAUAUUCAAAUCUUUGAAUUAUAGUAUUGCGCAUUUCAAUUUUCAAGCGCUGCAGAGUAAGACAUUUUGGAUGGAAAAAAUAUGCACGUGCGACGAUACAAAUAUACAAUGUAUAUUCUAUUGCGUCACAACAACUUUGACUUUGGCUUUCACACAUUUUUUAGAACACCGGAUCGCGCCAGUCGGUGAAUUUCAGUGAAAUUCUAAAUCUGAGGUAAAUCUUGAUGAUGCGACCACGGUACAUGCUAAUGUGACCAUGGUAAAAUUCGGUAAACAAACUUCUAUACCUCUGCGGCUCUGUAGUUUGAUUCAAUAAAAUGUGUCAUCCGUUUA